AAAGCUGUGGGAGUUGGUGAUGGACAGGGAGGCCUGCCGUGCUGCAGUCCACGGGGUCGCAAAGAGUUGGACAUGACUCAGCGACUGAACUGCACUGAACUGAACUGGGCCAGGAGAAACACCAAACACGCAAAGGUCUACCCACACUGGGGCUUCCUCAUAGCUCAGUUGGUAAAGAAUCAGCCUGCAAUGCAGGAGACCCAGGUUUGAUCCCUGGGUCAGGAAGAUUCCCUUGAGAAGGAAAUGGCAACCAACUCCAGUAUUCUUGCCUGGAGAAUCCCACGGACAGAGGAGCCUGGCGGCCUACAGUCAAUGGGGUCGCAAGAGUCAGACACGACUUAGAGACUAAACCACCACCACCACCAGCCACAUAUGGAACAUCGUCCAACGAGAAAUCUCCAGCAUAAAACUUCACAAACCACUUUGGACCCAUUGAAACAGUGAAACAGUGUGGGCUCCGGAGAUGCCGGGAGCUCAAAAAACUGGCAGAGGCAGGAAGGACCCUUGGCUGGAGCCUCUGAAGGCACUGCAGCACUGGGAAACCCUGACCUCAGACAUCUCCAGGACUGAGUGGACAGGCUUCUGUUACUCGGAGCAUCCGUGUGUGGUCAUUUGUCACCGCUGCCCCAGGAAGCUCAUGCAGCUGGUGGGAAGUUCCCUGCCCUGAUCUAAAGCUCCCUCCCAUUAGGGGCAGCCCCCUGCACCUAUGCUGUUUGCACUAACCGUGAGGCUCACGCUGAGCCCCGGCUCCCCUUCUGGGCACUUUGGAAGGUGAGGGCAGACACCACCACAUGACCAGCUUCCAGCUGGGAGCCAAGUCUCUGGUGAGCUUCCCUGAGGGGACAGGGGUGCGGGUGACUGUCAGGGUUCCACCCUUCAUCCCUGGGGGAAGAGACACCCUAGACACCCUUGAUGGAGGACAGGCAGGAUGCAAGGUGAGUGACCAGUGCCUCCCCACUGCGCCCUGAGGCCCGUCUCAGCUGUGGGAACACUGGCCUGUGCCGAGCCCUGGAGCCUCCCUGCAGGUCCCAAGAUGAGGUGGCCCUGCAGACCCCGCGCCUUCCUCCACAUCCAGUAGGUGGGACACACCUUCUCUUUGUCACUCCAGGAACCCUGCAAACUCCACCCCUUCCUACAUUUCUAGUAGGUGGGAUACCCCUUCUUGCCACUCCAGGAGUGGUUCUGGAGGCGAUAUGUGAGUGGUUCUGGGGUUUGCAGGCUGAGCCCCUGUCGCUGUGCUCCCCCUUCCCCACAGGAGCAUGCAGAGCAAGCUGUCUGCCCUGCUGCCUGAACGCCCCCUCCACUCAGUAGUCUCAGGAAGGAUCGGGGCUACAGUAGCAGCAUCUGGCACCUCCUUUAAUAAGAGUGUCCUUGUUCACAACCGUUUAGCCUUGUUCACACAUUUAGUGGGACGUAACAAAAGCCUUUAAGGUAAAAGGUCUAGAGAGAAGAGAGGAAGCUACAAACAAAACCAGAUGGAACCAGCUGGGACCACAAUGGCAGCGAAUCUGACUUCCAACA